UGCCAGCAGCCGCGGUAAUACGGAGGGUGCAAGCGUUAAUCGGAAUUACUGGGCGUAAAGCGCGCGUAGGCGGUUUUGUAAGCUGGAUGUGAAAGCCCCGGGCUCAACCUGGGAACUGCAUUCAGAACUGCAUGGCUAGAGUACAAUAGAGGGUGGUAGAAUUUCCUGUGUAGCGGUGAAAUGCGUAGAUAUAGGAAGGAAUACCAGUGGCGAAGGCGGCCACCUGGAUUGAUACUGACGCUGAGGUGCGAAAGCGUGGGGAGCGAACAGGAUUAGAUA
rnacentral:rRNA from 1 species